CUGACCUUCCCAUUAUCAUUUCUGAAUCAGCCCUAUUCUCCAAGUUCAGUACCUUCCCUUGUCUCAGAUGGCUGUGCCUAAGAGCAAGGAAUAUACUUAUAUGGUCAAUGCUGAAGUACAGUCCCAGGAAAUGAGCAAGCCCCAUGAUAAUUGAAUGGAACAGCUCCGUGGAUGCAAGUAGUUUAUGUCAAUGGGGAACCCUGAGGAAACCUGAACCUAGGAUAUCCCAACCUUUUAAUGGAGGCUGCAAGAAAUUCUGCCCUAUCUUUGCCCCAGAGGAAGACAUCAUCUUUAUUAUCCUGGACUACAAACAAAUCUACCUUUGCCCUACAAGGAGAUACAAGGCUGUAUCUUUCAAGGCUGUUUGUUAUACAAAUAUUCUUGAAAAGACAGCCUAGAACAAAAGCUGUCAACACCUCU